UACGUAGGGUGCAAGCGUUAAUCGGAAUUACUGGGCGUAAAGCGUGCGCAGGCGGUUAUGCAAGACAGGUGUGAAAUCCCCGAGCUCAACUUGGGAACUGCACUUGUGACUGCAAGGCUAGAGUACGGUAGAGGGGGGUGGAAUUCCGCGUGUAGCAGUGAAAUGCGUAGAUAUGCGGAGGAACACCGAUGGCGAAGGCAGCCCCCUGGACCUGUACUGACGCUCAUGCACGAAAGCGUGGGGAGCAAACAGG
rnacentral:rRNA from 1 species